GACGAACGCUGGCGGCGUGCUUAACACAUGCAAGUCGAACGAUGAAGCGGGUGCUUGCACUCGUGGAUUAGUGGCGAACGGGCGAGUAACACGUGAGUAACCUGUCCUUUUCUUUGGGAUAACGGCUGGAAACGGCUGCUAAUACUGGAUAUUCAGGCUGCAUCGCAUGGUGUGGUUUGGAAAGGUUUUUUCUGGGAUUUGGUGGGCUCGCGGCCUAUCAGCUUGUUGGUGGGGUGAUGGCUUACCAAGGCUUUGACGGGUAGCCGGCCUGAGAGGGUGGUCGGUCGCACUGGGACUGAGAUACGGCCCAGACUCCUACGGGAGGCAGCAGUGGGGAAUAUUGCACAAUGGACGAAAGUUUGAUGCAGCGACGCCGCGUGGAGGGUGUAGGCCUUCGGGUUGUGAACUCCUUUGUCUCGCGAAAAAGGCACAGUUUUGGCUGUGUUGAUGGUAGUGGGGGAAGAAGCGCCGGCUAACUACGUG
rnacentral:rRNA from 1 species